rnacentral:rRNA from 1 species
UACGGAGGGUGCGAACGUUUGUUCCGGAAUUACUGGGCGUAAAGCGCGUGUAGGCGGCAGGGCAUGUCGGAUGUGAAAUCCCGUGGCUCAACCACGGAAGUGCACCCGAAACUGCCCAGCUGGAGUCUCGGAGAGGAAGGCGGAAUGCUUGGUGUAGAGGUGAAAUUCGUAGAUAUCAAGCGGAACACCGGUGGCGAAGGCGGC